rnacentral:lncRNA from 1 species
CCUGGUUUGAAAACCAAUUAACAUUUUCCCCUGGAAGUCAUACUCUUAAUGCAGCCCAUGCAAUCGGCUAAGGAAAGGAAAUGAUAUCAUCAUCUCUUCUGGUUUGCUGUUUGGGGCUGCUUUGCCAGGAAAACCCAGUCACCUUGGAAUAACGCAACAGACCUCAGCAGCCUGGUUCCCUGAAGCCUUGCGGGGAGUUUGAGUAUUUUAACGAGAGAGCAGCUUUCUGAGCGGCGGACGCCCUGCUGCACCGGCCGGGGCGGCUCGCCGAUGACGCAGUUUUUUUGCACGGGGUCAAGCCUAAGCCCAGCACCACAUCCUGAGGCUUUGCUCUCCCCCACCUAACCGCAGACCUAGCUUCUGAUAACGGCAAGACUUUGUUUCAGUGAUAACGCCUGAAAAGGAAGACGCGGUAAGAACAGGUUAUUUGUAGUACAAAACGCCCGUCGGCCGGGUGCCAGGCCGCCUGUCCAGGUUUCCCCGCGCAGCGAGGUCUGCGGCGGGCACGCGAGGGCUCCCCCCUUUCUUCCCUUUAAGCAGGUUUUAUUUUCUGACAAAGCCAGCAGUCCGGGCAAGCUGCAAACGGCGCUUUUGCAGCUCGCAGCGCUGUCGCCCUCCUGUGGCUCCAGUACUAACCGAGCUGCAGCAAGCCCAGCUUAAAAACCUAAUGCUGUAACGCAAGCGAGAAACUAAAAUUUGCAGUUAUAGAAUCUGCGAUUACGGCCACGACUGUGGUCUGCGGAUGCGAUACUCCCCGGCGGGCAUGCGAAGGCACAGCAGGCCAGCAGGACUUGGAGACCGCGCUUGCGAGCCGACGGGGUUUUCACCCGUCGUGACCUUUGGAGUCAGCGACGUGACGCUGGGACAGAUGCUGUGCUACUGCCCAGAGCAAAGCAGCUGCAAGACAAAAGCAGCGUUUUACCUCCCUGGUGGAAAAGGGGGAGAAAACCUUGUGCGAGUGCCAACUUCUCCUCCGCGGGGACUUUGCGAGGACAACGAUCCCUCCGGUCGCCCAUCAACGCCCACCGGAAGCCCCAGCUGGAGACUCAGCGCUCCGGAAAAUCUUGUUUCCAGCUGCAUAUUGUGCACUGAUAACUAUUCCCCAGGCUCGCUAUUUCUUCAUGCCUCUGGACCACACAGACAACGCUGUUUCAUUCUUUUCCAUUCUAUUUUAUCUCAUUUUCUUCCACGAGAUGAAUGAUUAUCAGCAGCAAAUAUUUAUUAGGCAGAGAAUGGAAGAAAAAUGUGCUUUUAGAUCUGGAAUACGCAGCUACUUAUUACAAAAGUUUGACAAUGUUAUGACAGUUACUAUCAGUCUCCCGGUUAUUCUACCUUACUGCAAUAUCCACCAAAAAUAAACCCAGUACCUAAAUCCUCUGUGGAGGGACU